rnacentral:lncRNA from 1 species
AAGUCACCUUGAACAUUUGGAUCAAAGGGAUGAAUUAUACGGUAACCAUACGCCAGUAGGUUCUAGAAGGUUGCUUUGCAACACUUCGAUCCAUCCAAUCGUCAGGUCAUCAUUGCUAGAUCGUUAUAUCGAUUGGUAUAAGAAGUUAUUUCUAUACUAUCAACUUAGGUUCGAACCUAUGGGAUCACACACAUUAGAAGAUU